GCAUCGAUGAAGAACGCAGCGAACUGCGAUAAGUAAUGUGAAUUGCAGAAUUCAGUGAAUCAUCGAGUCUUUGAACGCACAUUGCGCCCCCUGGCAUUCCGGGGGGCAUGCCUGUUCGAGCGUCAUUACACCACUCAAGCCUGGCUUGGUAUUGAGCGCCGCGGCCUGCCCGCGCGCUCCAAUGUCUCCGGCUGAGCCGUCCGUCUCUAAGCGUUGUGAAUAGCGAUCGCUUGCGAGGCCCGGGCGGUUCGACGCCGUUAAACCCCCCAUUUUCUAUGGUUGACCUCGGAUCAGGUAGGGAUACCCGCUGAACUUAAGCAUAUCAAUAAGCGGAGGA
rnacentral:rRNA from 1 species